GAAUGACUGGAUGGUGCAGACUUUGGAUCCAUGAUUACGGUGUUCUGGGAGAGAAGCAACAUUUAAAGAAGGUAAACUGGAAUUAAGAAUUGUAUGAUCCAGAGUAGGAGCCACUGCAGGAAGGACCUGAUCUUGACUUGGAGCAGCUUGGUUUGGGUUUUCUUCUCUUUCAGCUGCCAACAUAAUGCUGCUGCAAACUGAAGAGAUAACAUAGUUCAAUCAUUUGCUGCCCGAACAUGGACCCUGUGCUGUGCUUCCUGCUGAUCCGGGGAGUCUCUGGGACCUUCAC